rnacentral:rRNA from 1 species
GACGAACGCCGGCGGCGUGCUUAACACAUGCAAGUCGAACGAGACGAUUGAAAGCUUGCUUUUGAAAGUCGAGUGGCAAACGGGUGAGUAACGCGUAGACAACCUGCCUUUGAGAUGUGGACAACAGUUCGAAAGGACUGCUAAUACCGAAUGUUGUAUAUUUUCCACAUGGAAGAUAUAUUAAAGAUGGCCUCUAUUUAUAAGCUAUCGCUCAAAGAUGGGUCUGCGUCUGAUUAGCUGGUUGGUGGGGUAACGGCCUACCAAGGCGACGAUCAGUGGCCGGUCUGAGAGGAUGAACGGCCACCUUGGGACUGAGACACGGCCCAGACCCCUACGGGAGGCAGCAGUGGGGAAUCUUCCACAAUGGACGAAAGUCUGAUGGAGCAACGCCGCGUGAGUGAAGAAGGGUUUCGGCUCGUAAAGCUCUGUUGUCGGGGACGAAUGUGCAGUAUUUGAAUAAAGUACUGCAAUGACGGUACCUGACGAGGAAGCCACGGCUAACUACGUGCCAGCCGCCGCAGUAA